rnacentral:rRNA from 1 species
UACGUAGGGUGCAAGCGUUAUUCGGAAUUACUGGGCGUAAAGCGUGCGUAGGCGGUUAUGCAAGUCAGAUGUGAAAUCCCCGGGCUUAACCUGGGAACUGCAUUUGUGACUGCAUAGCUAGAGUGCGGCAGAGGGGGAUGGAAUUCCGCGUGUAGCAGUGAAAUGCGUAGAUAUGCGGAGGAACACCGAUGGCGAAGGCAAUCCCCUGGGCCUGUACUGACGCUCAUGCACGAAAGCGUGGGGAGCAAACAGG